ACUCCUACGGGAGGCAGCAGUGGGAAUAUUGCACAAUGGGGAAGCCAUCGAUGCAGCCAUGCCGCGUGUGUGAAGAAGGCCAUUCGGGCUUGUUAAAGACACUUUUCAGCGAGGAGGAAAGGGUGUGUGCUAAUACCAUACAUCUGUGACGUUACUCGCAGAAGAAGCACCGGCUAACUCCGUGCCAGCAGCCGCGGUAAUACGGAGGGUGCGAGCGUUAAUCGGAAUUACUGGGCGUAAAGCGUGCGCAGGCGGUUUGUUAAGCGAGAUGUGAAAGCCC
rnacentral:rRNA from 1 species